rnacentral:ncRNA from 2 species
AAAAGACAUAGAGGUCGCAACCAAUAAGAGUAAUUAGUGGAGCCGGUAGGCAGAGAAACUAGUGAAAGGAGCGGUUGCCGAAAUUUCGACUAUGACGGUAGUUGAAAUUGGUCUAAACGUUAAUAGCGUUUGGAUUGUCACAGCAAAAUUUGUCUGCUGUGGAGCGCUAUCGAUAAU